rnacentral:sRNA from 1 species
GAUGAUGCAAAUUCCAAAGUUAUGGUAUAGUAGAGCGUAAGUUACUCAUGAUCUCAUUAAUGUAUAGCUUUACCUACUAUUGAAAAGCGCAGCCGGAAUUUAUUCCUCUCCCGCGCAUAUUCAACACAUAUUAUGUAUGCCAGAAUCCGACCCCAAAGAAUGCGGGAACUCAAAACACAAGGGUCAAACCAGAAAAUAACAAUCAGAAAGAAAUAGUCUAAUAAACAGCAGCACCCAUCUUUGGGGGGGUGGGGGAUAAGACAAAAGAAGAUGAAAUGGCAGUCGGAUGAUAUCUAACUGCAAGCUUCGCAAAAAUGGAAUAUAUCAAGACAUCAAACAAGUAGUUAGGGCAGAAACGAAAUAAAGGGAGGCCACGUACAGCAGCAUUCUUCGGCUCGACAAACAACGCUUUCGCCUGAGCCACAACAAGAGGCUCCUGCCCUUCAUCGGGUAGAGUCUCAAUCCUCCCUUCAACCCAUGCCUUGCGCCCUUCAACCUUCACCGUAUCAGCGCGCACAACGAAGAAUGACCCCGCAGGCGCCGGGCUGCGGUAGUCUAUGUUCAAAUUUGCAGUGACGCCAAUGCCAUUGGGUAAAGCAGAGAAGCAACACCUCGCGAGACAUUCGUCGAGAAUGGUAGCGAGGAGGCCGCCAUGGACAAUGCCCGGGUGGCCAGAAACGUCCGAACCCAGGUAUAGCAUCGCAACGAGGCUUUUCCCACCCGUCUCCGUCCAGGUGUAAGGGGGUACAGCGAUCUUAUUGGCGCCAGAGAGAGUUCCGGCAGUGAGGUUGUGGGCGCGCAAUUCCAGGGGAAUCUUAAGGUGGGGUCGCGAUUCGGUGAAGCGCUCAUCUGUUCGCAGAGAGCGAGCUAUGGGGUGAUUGUAGAUGAAGUCAUCGAUAUCCUGCAAGACUUCGUCGGGAGCUAUGUAUUCAGAUUCCUCGUCGGAGCGGAGUUGGUUGACGACCUGGACCAUGGUGGAUACAACGGGGCUUAGGGAGAUUCCAAGAGUGAAGGAGAAUAUUGCGAUUGCUGAGAAACCUAGGAAACGGCGGAAUAUGGAGGGCCUUUUGAAUGAAGUAUGGGAGGGAGGAGGAGGCAGAGGCUUAGGAGAAGAUGGGUGGACUGUCUGGACUGAAUAAGGUCUAUUUGAUGACGGGCUUGACGGCCGGGCUAUGAAAAAGGAGCGUGACAAGGAAGCGCCGGGAGAAGUGGAAAAAGAAGAAACAGAGACAGGGAAGGAUACGCGCUGCUUUGAGAUAAAGAAAAUGUGAUUGCCUGGGGAAAAAACAGGACGAGAGCGGAACGGAGCCAUAGUAAUUGAGCUGAAGAGAUGCUCCAGGGGACCGCGCAAGAACCAAUUUCUCAAAAUAGAUGGUGCAACGGUGCGCUGGUGGGCUCCACCACUUCCAUCGAAAUCAACCG